GAGGUUCCAAAAGAAAAGGCAAAACCAGUUCUUAAAGAAAAGGGUACUUAUCUAGUUGACAUUUUAAUUCAAAAUUCACGUUACAAAAUUGUCAAUUUAUUUGCUAUUUGCCAUUUGCUAUUUUAAAGUGCUACUGCCAAUGUUUUAUAGAACCCAAAAUAACCAAAGAAAAGCCAAAGCCAGCACCAAAGAAAGGUACUUUUUUCUUGUAAGAUUAACAUCUGAUAGAAUAAAGUUUAAGCUAUAUUAAACUAUUUAAUAAUGUUAAAUUAAAAGUUUUCCUUAUCUGUGUUUUACAUUUUAUAAAUGUUUUUCAUCGUCUCUAAUUCAGAAGCUGUAGCCAUCAAAGAAGAAGCUAAAGCAGCCCCCGUGAAGGAAGAGGCUGAAAUUGUCAAAGAGAAAGCUAAAGCAACCCCUGUGAAGAAAGGUUUGAUUUACAUACUAUGCUCACAAUCACAUUACCACUGUUCCCAAGCAGAAUAUUAUAUCAUGCUAUAUUAAGUUUUUAAUUUGCUCUAAAUGUUAUUUUAUGAAUGUUUUAGAGGCUGAAGUCAUCAAAGAGAAAGCUAAACCAGCUCCUGAGAAGAAAGGUUAGAAUUACCAAUAUUUGACCUCCAAUUUAAAAAAAAAUAAUUAAAAAAUAAUUGAAAGAAAAAAAUCUUCAUAUUAUUGCCUUUUCAGUGUCUGAAGUCUUCAAGGAGAAAGUUAAGCAAGCGCCUCUAAAGAAAGGUAUGGAUGUCAAUGAAAUCAUCCUGCAUGUAGUAUUGCUUUCUUUUGUAUGAUUAUUAUAUAAAAUGAUUAUCACAUGAAACAAUACUGUUUUAUAGAGCCUGAAGUCUCGAAAGAAAAGUUAUUAGAGCCAACACCUAAAAAAGAUGAUGUUGGUCUUACUGGUUUGAACUUGGAACUCCUGAACUCUAUCAACCAAAAACUGUCUCUUCUGGACUUACUGAGGAAGGACAUUGGUGAAAUGAAGAGUGAUCUGGAGUCCACUCAAAAUCAAAUCACACUUUUACGGAUGGACAACAGAACAAUCAAAGGUAUUUUGUCCAUGUUAGAACUACGGUGGAUUUCUGAAAAAAAAAGGCUUGAAAUUUCUUGGCUUACGUUAAACCACAUGCUGCUUGUGUCUCUUAUAGAGCCAGAGACUGUCGGUGUAAAGGUAAAAGCAGCGGUCUCCAAGGAAAAGCUGAAAACAGCAAAAAAAGACCGUGAUGCUCUGAUGAACGUUACUAAGACAGCACAUAUUAAAACAGAACGUGAUGCACUAAAAAACAUCACUAAACCAGCACCUGCAAAGAAAGAUAAAGAGGCUCCAAAAGCUAACAUCAGACCAGAGCCCAAAAAGAAAGGUAAAAUAUAUAUUUACUGUUAACAAUUGAAAUCACCUACCAAUAUCAUUUUCUUUUUGCUAAGUAAAAAGAUUCUUAUUGUUGUAUCAGUGACUAAAAAUAUCUCUCCUGAUGCUAGAAAUCACCCGUGAGAAGGUCAAAGAAGAAAAGGAACCUUUAAAGAAAGGUACUAUGGCUGAUUGCAUAGAGUGAUUUACUAACACAGACUUUUCAUAUUCAUUUUAGCAAUAGUUCUUUACACUCCAAGAAUAUUCAUUAUUUUAUAUAUUCAUCAACAGGCUUGACAUUAAUAGUUGAUCA
ensembl:lncRNA